rnacentral:rRNA from 1 species
GAUGAACGCUAGCGGCAGGCUUAAUACAUGCAAGUCGAGGGGCAGCAGCUUUAUAGCAAUAUAGAGGCUGGCGACCGGCAAACGGGUGCGGAACACGUACACAACCUUCCUUGAAUAGGGGGAUAGCCCAUAGAAAUGUGGAUUAAUACCCCGUAAUAUAGCGGUGUGGCAUCACACUGUUAUUAUAGUUUCGGCGAUUCGAGAUGGGUGUGCGGCUGAUUAGGUAGUUGGCGGGGUAAAGGCCCACCAAGCCUUCGAUCAGUAGCUGAUGUGAGAGCAUGAUCAGCCACACGGGCACUGAGACACGGGCCCGACUCCUACGGGAGGCAGCAGUAAGGAAUAUUGGUCAAUGGACGCAAGUCUGAACCAGCCAUGCCGCGUGAAGGAUGAAGGUCCUCUGGAUUGUAAACUUCUUUUAUAGGGGGCGAAAAAAGGUCUUUCUAGAUCACUUGACAGUACCCUAUGAAUAAGCACCGGCUAACUCCGUGCCAGCAGCCGCGGUAAUACGGAGGGUGCAAGCGUUAUCCGGAUUCACUGGGUUUAAAGGGUGCGUAGGCGGGUAGGUAAGUCAGAGGUGAAAUCCUGGAGCUUAACUCCAGAACUGCCUUUGAUACUAUCUAUCUUGAAUAUGGUGGAGGUAAGCGGAAUAUGUCAUGUAGCGGUGAAAUGCAUAGAUAUGACAUAGAACGCCUAUUGCGAGGGCAGCUUACUACGCCUAUAUUGACGCUGAGGCACGAAAGCGUGGGGAUCAAACA